rnacentral:tRNA from 1 species
GCCGAAGUGGUGGAAUUGGUAGACACGCCAUCUUGAGGGGGUGGUGAGCUAUGCUCAUGCGGGUUCAAGUCCCGCUUUCGGCACCA